rnacentral:rRNA from 1 species
CCUACGGGAGGCAGCAGUGAGGAAUAUUGGUCAAUGGACGCAAGUCUGAACCAGCCAUGCCGCGUGCAGGAAGACGGCUCUAUGAGUUGUAAACUGCUUUUGUACGAGGGUAAACGCAGAUACGCGUAUCUGUCUGAAAGUACCGUACGAAUAAGGAUCGGCUAAUUCCGUGCCAGCAGCCGCGGUAAUACGGAGGAUUCAAGCGUUAUCCGGAUUUAUUGGGUUUAAAGGGUGCGUAGGCGGUCGGAUAAGUUAGAGGUGAAAUCCCGAGGCUCAACUUCGGAAUUGCCUCUGAUACUGUUAGGCUAGAGAGUAGUUGCGGUAGGCGGAAUGUAUGGUGUAGCGGUGAAAUGCUUAGAGAUCAUACAGAACACCGAUUGCGAAGGCAGCUUACCAAGCUACUUCUGACGUUGAGGCACGAAAGCGUGGGGAGCAAACAGGAUUAGAUACCCCUGUAGUC